GUGGGGAAUAUUGGACAAUGGGCGAAAGCCUGAUCCAGCCAUGCCGCGUGUGUGAAGAAGGUCUUCGGAUUGUAAAGCACUUUAAGUUGGGAGGAAGGGCAGUAAGUUAAUACCUUGCUGUUUUGACGUUACCGACAGAAUAAGCACCGGCUAACUUCGUGCCAGCAGCCGCGGUAAUACGAAGGGUGCAAGCGUUAAUCGGAAUUACUGGGCGUAAAGCGCGCGUAGGUGGUUUUGUAAGUUGGAGGUGAAAUCCCCGGGCUCAACCUGGGAACUGCCUCCAAAACUGCAUGACUAGAGUACGGUAGAGGGUAGUGGAAUUUCCUGUGUAGCGGUGUAAUGCGUAGAUAUAGGAAGGAACACCAGUGGCGAAGGCGACUACCUGGACUGAUACUGACACUGAGGUGCGAAAGCGUGGGGAGCAAACAGGAUUAGAAACCCUAGUAGUCC
rnacentral:rRNA from 1 species